rnacentral:rRNA from 1 species
UUGAACGCUGGCGGCAGGCCUAACACAUGCCAGUCGAACGGUAACAGGAAGCAGCUUGCUGCUUUGCUGACGAGUGGCGGACGGGUGAGUAAUGUCUGGGAAACUGCCUGAUGGAGGGGGAUAACUACUGGAAACGGUAGCUAAUACCGCAUAAUGUCGCAAGACCAAAGAGGGGGACCUUCGGGCCUCUUGCCAUCGGAUGUGCCCAGAUGGGAUUAGCUAGUAGGUGGGGUAAAGGCUCACCUAGGCGACGAUCCCUAGCUGGUCUGAGAGGAUGACCAGCCACACUGGAACUGAGACACGGUCCAGACUCCUACGGGAGGCAGCAGUGGGGAAUAUUGCACAAUGGGCGCAAGCCUGAUGCAGCCAUGCCGCGUGUAUGAAGAAGGCCUUCGGGUUGUAAAGUACUUUCAGCGGGGAGGAAGGGAGUAAAGUUAAUACCUUUGCUCAUUGACGUUACCCGCAGAAGAAGCACCGGCUAACUCCGUG